GAAUAAAUCAGAGUGCUCAAUACAGGCGCUUGCUUGAAUAGCUCAUCAUGGAAUAAUGAAACAGGACUUCGGUUCUUUUUGUUGGUUCUAGAAUUGAUCUAAUGGUUAAGAGGGACAAACCGGGGGCAUUCGUAUCAUUACGCGAGAGGUGAAAUUCGUGGACCGUAGUGAGACGCCCAAUAGCGAAAGCAUUUGCCAAGAAUGUCUUCAUUAAUCAAGAACGAAAGUCAGAGGUUCGAAGGCGAUUAGAUACCGCCCUAGUUCUGACCGUAAACGAUGCCAUCUCGCGAUUCGGAGGGUUCAUGCCCUACCGAGGAGCUACCCGGAAACGAAAGUCUUUCGGUUCCGGGGGUAGUAUGGUUGCAAAGCUGAAACUUAAAGAAAUUGACGGAAGGGCACCACAAGGCGUGGAGCUUGCGGCUUAAUUUGACUCAACACGGGAAAACUCACCCGGUCCGGACACUAUUAGGACUGACAGAUUGAAAGCUCUUUCUCGAUUUGGUGGUUGGUGGUGCAUGGCCGUUUUUAGUUGGUGGAGUGAUUUGUCUGGUUUAUUCCGAUAACGAGCGAGACUCUAGCCUGCUAAAUAGUCGACGAAUCUUCGGGUUCGUAUAACUUCUUAGAGGGAUAAGCGGUGUUUAGCCGCACGAGAUUGAGCGAUAACAGGUCUGUGAUGCCCUUAGAUGUCCGGGGCUGCACGCGUGCUACACUGGUGGAGUCAGCGGGUUUUUCCUAUGCCGAAAGGUAUCGGUAAACCGUUGAACUUCUUCCAUGUCCGGGAUAGGGUAUUGUAAUUAUUACCCUUAAACGAGGAAUGCCUAGUAAGUGUGAGUCAUCAGCUCACGUUGAUUACGUCCCUGCCCUUUGUACACACCGCCCGUCGCUAUCCGGGACUGAACUGAUUCGAGAAGAGUGGGGACUGUGGCUGCGAGGUUUUACCACUUCGCAGUUGCGGAAACCAUUUUUAUCGCAUUGGUUUGAACCGGGUAAAAGUCGUAACAAGGUAGCUGUAGGUGAACCUGCAGCUGGAUCAUCG
rnacentral:ncRNA from 1 species